rnacentral:rRNA from 1 species
GAUGAACGCUAGCGGCAGGCCUAAUACAUGCAAGUCGAACGGUGUCUUCGGACAUAGUGGCGCACGGGUGCGUAACACGUAUGCAACCUACCUUACAUUGGGGGAUAGCCUUUCGAAAGGGAGAUUAAUACCGCAUAAGACAGUAGCUGGGCAUCCAGCAGCUGUUAAAGAUUUAUCGAUGUAAGCUGGGCAUGCGUCCAAUUAGCUAGGUGGUGAGGUAACGGCUCACCAAGGCAAUGAUUGGUAGGGGAACUGAGAGGUCAAUCCCCCACACUGGCACUGAGAUACGGGCCAGACUCCUACGGGACGCAACAGUAGCGAAUAUUGGGCAAUGGACGCAAGUCUGACCCAGCCAUGCAGCGCGCAGGAUGAAGGCGUUAUGCGUUGUAAACUGCUUUUAUACAGGAAGAAACGACUCUUGCGAGAGGCAUUGACGGUACUGUAUGAAUAAGCACCGGCUAACUCCGUGCCAGCAGCCGCGGUAAGAC